AAGAAAGUAGAAAAGGGCGCAAGGUGGAUGCCUUGGCUCACGGAGGCGAUGAAGGACGUGAUAAGCUGCGAUAAGCCUCGGGUAGGUGCAAAUAACCCUUGAUCCGAGGAUUUCCGAAUGGGACAACCCGGCCGUCUGAAGGACGGUCACUAUGCAAUAGCAUAGGGCAAACGCAGGGAACUGAAACAUCUUAGUACCUGCAGGAAGAGAAAAUAAGUUAAUGAUUCCCCCAGUAGUGGCGAGCGAACGGGGAAGAGCCCAAACCAUAGUUGUGGCAACGCAAUUGUGGGGUUGUAGGACCACGCUGUAGCAAGAUACUUGUGAGAAGAACGUUCUGGAAAG
rnacentral:rRNA from 1 species